rnacentral:rRNA from 1 species
GACGAACGCUGGCGGCGUGCCUAAUACAUGCAAGUAGAACGCUGAAGCGAGGAGCUUGCUCUUCUUGGAUGAGUUGCGAACGGGUGAGUAACGCGUAGGUAACCUGCCUUGUAGCGGGGGAUAACUAUUGGAAACGAUAGCUAAUACCGCAUAACAAUGGAUGACACAUGUCAUUUAUUUGAAAGGGGCAAUUGCUCCACUUCAAGAUGGACCUGCGUUGUAUUAGCUAGUAGGUGAGGUAACGGCUCACCUAGGCGACGAUACAUAGCCGACCGGAGAGGGGGGACCGCCAACAUGGGACUGGAGCCAGGGCCAGGACCCCAAGGGAAGGAGCAAGAGGGAAUCUUGGGCAAAGGGGGGAACGCUGACCGAGGAAAGGCGGGGGGGUGAAGGAGGUUUUCGGAUCGUGAAACUCUGUUGUAAGUCAAGGACGAGUGUGGGAGUGGAAAGUUCACACUGUGACGGUAGCUUACCAGAAAGGGACGGCUAACUACGUG